GCCCAGGUGGCUCAGUGGUUGAGCGUCUGUCUUUGGCUCAGGGCACGAUCCCAGGGUCCUGGGAUCAAGUCCCACAUUGGGUU
rnacentral:tRNA from 1 species